rnacentral:rRNA from 1 species
UACGUAGGGUGCGAGCGUUAAUCGGAAUUACUGGGCGUAAAGCGUGCGCAGGCGGUCUGUUAAGACCGAUGUGAAAUCCCCGGGCUUAACCUGGGAACUGCAUUGGCGACUGGCAGGCUUUGAGUGUGGCAGAGGGAGGUAGAAUUCCACGUGUAGCAGUGAAAUGCGUAGAGAUGUGGAGGAAUACCGAUGGCGAAGGCAGCCUCCUGGGCCAACACUGACGCUCAUGCACGAAAGCGUGGGGAGCAAACAGG